rnacentral:sRNA from 1 species
AUGAGAAGCUUCGACUAAGGUUCGAUUCGAGCGCAGCGAGAACGCGUUGCCGCAGGCAACGACCCGAAGGGCGAAGCGCGCAGCGCUGAGUCAUCCUUCCCCCACCACCA